CACUGGGACUGAGACACGGCCCAGACUCCCUACGGGAGGCAGCAGUGGGGAAUUUUCCGCAAUGGGCGAUAGCCUGACGGAGCAAGACCGCGUGAGGGAGGAAGGCUCUUGGGUUGUAAACCUCUUUUCUCAGGGAAGAAGCUCUGACGGUACCUGAGGAAUCAGCCUCGGCUAACUCCGUGCCAGCAGCCGCGGUAAUACGGAGGAGGCAAGCGUUAUCCGGAAUUAUUGGGCGUAAAGCGUCCGCAGGUGGCGAUUCAAGUCUGCUGUCAAAGCACGGGGCUUAACUCCGUUAAGGCAGUGGAAACUGAAUAGCUAGAGUGCCGUAGGGGUAGAGGGAAUUCCCGGUGUAGCGGUGAAAUGCGUAGAGAUCGGGAAGAACAUCGGUGGCGAAAGCGCUCUACUGGACGGCAACUGACACUCAGGGACGAAAGCUAGGGGAGCGAAUGGGAUUAGAUACCCCAGUAGUCCUAGCUGUAAACGAUGGAUACUAGGUGUAGCUUGUAUCGACCCGAGCUGUGCCGAAGCUAACGCGUUAAGUAUCCCGCCUGGGGAGUACGCACGCAAGUGUGAAACUCAAAGGAAUUGACGGGGGCCCGCACAAGCGGUGGAGUAUGUGGUUUAAUUCGAUGCAACGCGAAGAACCUUACCAGGGCUUGACAUGUCCGGAAUCCCGGUGAAAGCUGGGAGUGCCUUCGGGAGCCGGAACACAGGUGGUGCAUGGCUGUCGUCAGCUCGUGUCGUGAGAUGUUGGGUUAAGUCCCGCAACGAGCGCAACCCUCGUCUUUAGUUGCCAGCAUUAAGUUGGGCACUCUAGAGAGACUGCCGGUGACAAACCGGAGGAAGGUGGGGAUGACGUCAAGUCAGCAUGCCCCUUACGCUCUGGGCGACACACGUACUACAAUGGUCGGGACAGAGGGCAGCGAACCUGCGAAGGCAAGCUAAUCCCAGCAAACUCGGCCUCAGUUCAGAUCGCAGNCUGCAACUCGCCUGCGUGAAGGAGGAAUCGCUAGUAAUCGCCGGUCAGAAUACGGCGGUGAAUCCGUUCCCGGGCCUUGUACACACCGCCCGUCACACCAUGGAAGCUGGCCACGCCCGAAGUC
rnacentral:rRNA from 1 species